rnacentral:lncRNA from 1 species
CUUCUGUACUUGCUCCUGGCUCCUUCUAUGCACUCCUUUUCUAAAUUUUCAGCUACCCUGAAAAAGGAAGAUAACAGAGAAAAAUUUAAAUGGCAGUCGACCAUCCAUUUGGAAUACAACUUCAAUCAGUCUCCACAAAUUGUUUCCCCUGCAUAAUUCUGAUGAAGUUUUAACUCAGAAUUUCCCUAUAACUUGUAACAGCUCUCCACUCGCCCCUACAUCCCAGAAUAUCACAAUGGCUUAUAACUGGACCAUACAUCACAUGACAUAUGUGUUUGAAAAAAUGUUUGAGAGUACAAAUUAUUUUAAUUCGGCUAGUAGAUUUAGGAGGCUUUUUUGGUAAUAAAUUAGCAAUCUCUGGAGGGCCUUGUAAAUUUUCUUCAUCUGGUCGUACACUUGCAGCAGCAUGCACUGAGAUCUUCAAGCGUCGAAGCCACUAAGGUACCCUCAACAUAAUAUUUUUGCCAAGACAAUGUUAAAAUCAUAUGUUAAUCAACAAGCUAAUGAUCUGUAACGUGUGUAUAGAAACGUAUGUCAAGGUCAUGCAUUGCACUGCACUAUCUAAUAAACAACUGAACCAUGCAAGAUCUGAUAGGAAGAUAACAGAGACUAGAAGAAAACUGCAUACAUAUUAAAGGGGCCUGGCACAAAUAGAUUGCCUUCUAUGCUGAGAGCUAAAUCUACUAAUAUAUCACCUUGUCCUAUCAAUACUGCUUCAUAAAUGAGUUGGCCAGCAUAUCAGUUACUAUGGAAAGAAACCAAAAUGAAUUGUUGUAAGCAAUGUUCUGUUAUGUAACUGUGACUGUUAGAUCAGAGAUAAGAAAAAGGUAGCAUGCAUUACAUUAGUUGAUGAGAACAGAAUUGCAGUGAUAGAGGCAAAUAUUGAAAUUAACAGAUUAAAAUUUAUGAUUACCUCUUGAAACUAAGUCAUUCCUAUAAAAAAUUUAUGUUUAGUGCAAAUUAACAUGGCAUACUUUUUACACCAGAGUGAAAAACGCAUGGCUUGGUUACUGAGAAUUUUGCAUUCGUAAAAAAAGCAGAACAUAUGAUUUAUCGUGUAGUGUAUAUAUAGCGCAUAGCUAUUGCAGACUUUGCAUUUGCCUGCCAAACAUAUGCUAAUCUGUUAACUUAACUUUGAUUUGUCAACGAAAAUCUCAGCUAUAGCUGGAAAGGCAGAACUUUUAUUUGGUACACAUAAUCAUAGCGAUAGUUAAGUAUUACUACUCACCAGUAGGUAGCUCUGCAUCACUUUGGGUGAGAUUUUGAUUUUGGACCCAAGGGUGCUAUAUCUGGAGCAAUGGAUGGAAAUUAGGCUGACAUCAGUACCUCAAGACAGUGGUCACAUAUUUCCAAGACCCCUGCAGGCUAUACAAAAUAACACAAACCUGACGAUUCAUCAGUGAUGGAUGUACCUAUCUCAAGAGAAAGAAGAGAUCUGGUUCAGAUAGCUGUUUACAGGUUAGAGGUUUCAUCUAUCUACAAAGAUAUAGUAGGAGUUAUCAGACUACCGAGUUGAUUAAUAAAGGCAAAUUUUAGUUAGUUGAUUAUGAGAACCCCUGUAUCCUGGUAGUUGCAGUUGCGGUCAGUACAAAAGAAGUUACCAUGGCGUGCACAGUGACAUAGCACUAUCAUGUUUUUUGCUCCAGGGUAAAUGGAAAGUGAGGUUAUUUUGGCAUGUUUAUCUAACACGACUUGUACUACUUUCGAGUUUCACCAUAUAAAAUUUCAUUGGACCAAACAGUUGCUAACAUACUUUUGAGGAAAUCUGUCAGAAUUGAUAUCUAGCAAGCAAACAAUUUACCAAACACUUGGAGUGAAUUGUCUACAUGAAGGAAGUAAGGAGACGGAGAUAGAAGAGGAUAGAGACUUGAGAUGUAUAUAAACGAAGGAGGCCACUUUGAUUGAUUUAAUGUUAAUGGUAAAACUGAAGGGGAUAUGGGAUAAGGGAUCACCUGCUUGACGUGGCGGAGGCUGAAGAUGCUGGCAGGAGGCGGG